AACGAACGCUGGCUGCAGGCCUAACACAUGCAAGUCGAGCGAGGACUUCGGUCCUAGCGGCGGACGGGUGAGUAACGCGUGGGAACGUGCCCUUUGCUUCGGAAUAGCCCUGGGAAACUGGGAGUAAUACCGGAUGAGCCCUUUGGGGGAAAGAUUUAUCGGCGAAGGAUCGGCCCGCGUUGGAUUAGGUAGUUGGUGGGGUAAUGGCCCACCAAGCCGACGAUCCAUAGCUGGUUUGAGAGGAUGAUCAGCCACACUGGGACUGAGACACGGCCCAGACUCCUACGGGAGGCAGCAGUGGGGAAUCUUAGACAAUGGGGGAAACCCUGAUCUAGCCAUGCCGCGUGAGCGAUGAAGGCCUUAGGGUUGUAAAGCUCUUUCAGCUGGGAAGAUAAUGACGGUACCAGCAGAAGAAGCCCCGGCUAACUCCGUG
rnacentral:rRNA from 1 species